UGAGGAAUAUUGGUCAAUGGGCGAGAGCCUGAACCAGCCAAAUCGCGUGAAGGAAGACUGCCUUAUGGGUUGUAAACUUCUUUUAUACAGGAAUAAAAAACGGGGACGUGUCCCUUAUUGCAUGUACUGUAUGAAUAAGCAUCGGCUAACUCCGUGCCAGCAGCCGCGGUAAUACGGAGGAUGCGAGCGUUAUCCGGAUUUAUUGGGUUUAAAGGGUGCGCAGGCGGGCUUUUAAGUCAGCGGUGAAAUCUCGGGGCUUAACUCCGAAACUGCCGUUGAAACUGGGAGUCUUGAGUAUGGAUGAAGUAGGCGGAAUUCGUUGUGUAGCGGUGACAUGCUUAGAUAUAACGAGGAACUCCGAUUGCGUAGGCAGCUUACUAAGCCAUAACUGACGCUCAAGCACGAAAGCGUGGGGAUCAAAACAGGAUUAGAUACCCCUGGUAGUCCACGCCGUAAAACGAUGAUUACUAGUUGUAUGCGAUAUACCGUAUGUGACUAAGCGAAAGCGAUAAGUAAUCCACCUGGGGAGUACGCCGGCAACGGUGAAACUUAAAUGAAUUGACGGGGUCAUAGCUG
rnacentral:rRNA from 1 species